AUUGAACGCUGGCGGCAGGCCUAACACAUGCAAGUCGAGCGCGAAAGCACUUCGGUGUGAGUAAAGCGGCGGACGGGUGAGUAACGCGUAGGAAUCUACCUAGUAGUGGGGGACAACUCGGGGAAACUCGAGCUAAUACCGCAUACGCCCUACGGGGGAAAGCGGGGGACCUUCGGGCCUCGCGAUAUUAGAUGAGCCUGCGUUGGAUUAGCUAGUUGGUGGGGUAAUGGCCUACCAAGGCGACGAUCCAUAGCUGGUCUGAGAGGAUGAUCAGCCACACCGGGACUGAGACACGGCCCGGACUCCUACGGGAGGCAGCAGUGGGGAAUAUUGCGCAAUGGGCGAAAGCCUGACGCAGCCAUGCCGCGUGUGUGAAGAAGGCCUUCGGGUUGUAAAGCACUUUCAAUUGGGAGGAAAGGUUCACGGUUAAUAACCGUGAGCUGUGACGUUACCUUUAGAAGAAGCACCGGCUAACUCCGUGCCAGCAGG
rnacentral:rRNA from 1 species